rnacentral:lncRNA from 1 species
CUCCGCAGCGUUUUCAUUCAUCCCUACAGAUCUGAUUAAAUACAGGAAAGGAGGAAUCAUCGUAUCCUCACCCGCCUGGAAAGUGAGCACAAGGUAGUCAGCGAUUAUCAGCGGGAACGUCCUUGAGAGAUCUCUACCUUUUCUUUAACCCAGGCAAUAAGACGCAGAAAAAAUAAAAAUCCCGCCGGCGACUUAUUACAGAAUCCUCAGAAGAAAGCCAGUGUGAGCUGUCUGCCUUCAGCACUACACAGA